rnacentral:tRNA from 1 species
GGCUCGGUAGCUUAGUUGGUAAAGCGCUCGUCUAGCAUACAAGAGUCCUGGGUUCAAAUCCCAGCCAAGUAC